GCUCCUAAAGGAUACAGCUCAUCCGUUGGUCUUAGGAACCAAAAACUCUUGGUGCAAAUCCAAGUAGCAG
rnacentral:tRNA from 1 species